rnacentral:RNase_P_RNA from 1 species
GUCACCGACCGGACGGUCGCGAGAGAGACUCCUGGCGAACAGCCCACGGUGUCCUCCUCGAGGAAAGUCCGGGCUCCAUGGACAGGCUGCCAGGUAACGCCUGGGCGCGUGGCUCACGCUCCACCGAGCUGCGCGACGGAAAGUGCCACAGAAAACACACCGCCGAUGGCCCGUGGGUUUCCCUCGCGCGGAUCAGGCAAGGUUGAAAAGGCGAGGUAAGAGCUCACCGCGCAUCUGGUAACAGAUGCGGCACGGUAAACCCCAGCCGGAGCAAGGCCAAAUAGGCAGCGAGAGGCCGUCCACCUCGAUCGAGACGCUGCGGGUAGGCUGCUAGAGGGCGUGGGC